rnacentral:rRNA from 1 species
AUUGAACGCUGGCGGCGUGCCUAAUACAUGCAAGUCGAACGGAGUGGCGCCCGGGUGAGUAAUGUAUAUCUAAUCUGCCCUACACUAGCGGACAACAGUUGGAAACGGCUGCUAAUACUCUACAGUGUAGGAUGAGGCUAUAUUGUAUCAGCUAGUUGGUGAGGUAAUGGCUCACCAAGGCUAUGACGCAUAACUGGUCUGAGAGGAUGAUCAGUCACACUGGAACUGAGACACGGUCCAGACUCCUACUGGAGGGAGCAGUAGGGAAUAGUGCUCAAGGGGGGAAACCCUGAAGCAGCAACGCGGCGUGGAGGAUGACACUUUUCGGAGCGAAAACUCCUUUUGUUAGGGAAGCGGUACCUGACGAAUAAGCACCGGCUAACUCCGUGCCAGCAGCCGCGGUAAUUC